AGCCGCCGCGGUAAGACGUAGGAUGCAAGCGUUGUCCGGAUUUAUUGGGCGUAAAGAGUUCGUAGGCGGUUUGUUAAGUCUGAUGUUAAAGACCGGGGCUCAACCUCGGAAAUGCAUUGGAUACUGGCAGACUGGAGUGCAGUAGAGGCUAGUGGAAUUCCCAGUGUAGCGGUGAAAUGCGUAGAUAUUGGGAAGAACACCGGUGGCGUAGGCGACUAGCUGGGCUGUAACUGACGCUGAGGAACGAAAGCCAGGGGAGCAAAUGGGAUUAGAUACCCCAGUAGUCCUGGCCGUAAACGAUGGAUACUAGGCGUAGUGGGUAUCGACCCCUGCUGUGCCGCAGCUAACGCGAUAAGUAUCCCGCCUGAGUAGUACGGCCGCAAGGUUGAAACUCAAAGGAAUUGACGGGGGCCCGCACAAGCGGUGGAACAUGUGGUUUAAUUCGAAGCAACGCGAAGAACCUUACCAGGGCUUGACAUCUGUGGAAUCUUUCGGAAACGAGAGAGUGCUCGCAAGAGAGCCACAAGACAGGUGGUGCAUGGCUGUCGUCA
rnacentral:rRNA from 1 species